GGAUAUAGCUCAUUGGUGGAGCACUUGCCUAGCACACAUGAGGUCUUGGGUUCAAUCCCCAAUAGUAAUCUA
rnacentral:tRNA from 1 species